GAUGAACGCUGGCGGCGUGCCUAAUACAUGCAAGUCGAGCGAAUGGAUUGAGAGCUUGCUCUUAUGAAGUUAGCGGCGGACGGGUGAGUAACACGUGGGUAACCUGCCCAUAAGACUGGGAUAACUCCGGGAAACCGGGGCUAAUACCGGAUAACAUUUUGAACCGCAUGGUUCGAAAUUGAAAGGCGGCUUCGGCUGUCACUUAUGGAUGGACCCGCGUCGCAUUAGCUAGUUGGUGAGGUAACGGCUCACCAAGGCAACGAUGCGUAGCCGACCUGAGAGGGUGAUCGGCCAACCUGGGACUGAGACACGGCCCAGACUCCUACGGGAGGCAGCAGUAGGGAAUCUUCCGCAAUGGACGAAAGUCUGACGGAGCAACGCCGCGUGAGUGAUGAAGGCUUCCGGGUCGUAAAACUCUGUUGUUAGGGAAGAACAAGUGCUAGUUGAAUAAGCUGGCACCUUGACGGUACCUAACCAGAAAGCCACGGCUAACUACGUGCCAGCCGCCGCGGUAA
rnacentral:rRNA from 1 species